rnacentral:rRNA from 2 species
GUUGAUAAGGUUAAGUGAAUAAGGGCGCACGGUGGAUGCCUUGGCACUAGGAGCCGAUGAAGGACGGGACUAACACCGAUAUGCUUUGGGGAGCUGUACGUAAGCUAUGAUCCAGAGAUUUCCGAAUGGGGGAACCCAGCAUCUUUAAUAGGAUGUUACGAUUGUGUGAAUACAUAGCACAUUCGAGGUAGACGCAGAGAACUGAAACAUCUAAGUACCUGCAGGAAGAGAAAGAAAAUUCGAUUCCCUGAGUAGCGGCGAGCGAAACGGGAAAAGCCCAAACCAACAAGCUUGCUUGUUGGGGUUGUAGGACUCCAAUAUGGUCGUUCUUUCAGAUAGUCGAAUGACUUGGAAAAGUCAGUCAAAGAGGGUAAAAACCCCGUAGACGAAAUGUGGAAGACACCUAGGAGGAUCCUGAGUACGGCGGAACACGAGAAAUUCCGUCGGAAUCCGGGAGGACCAUCUCCCAAGGCUAAAUACUCCCUAGUGACCGAUAGUGAACCAGUACCGUGAGGGAAAGGUGAAAAGCACCCCGGAAGGGGAGUGAAAUAGAACCUGAAACCGUGUGCCUACAACAAGUCAAAGCCCGUUAAUGGGUGAUGGCGUGCCUUUUGUAGAAUGAACCGGCGAGUUACGAUUGCAUGCGAGGUUAAGUUGAAGAGACGGAGCCGCAGCGAAAGCGAGUCUGAAUAGGGCGUUUGAGUAUGUAGUCGUAGACCCGAAACCAUGUGAUCUACCCAUGUCCAGGUUGAAGGUGCGGUAAAACGCACUGGAGGACCGAACCCACGUACGUUGAAAAGUGCGGGGAUGAGGUGUGGGUAGCGGAGAAAUUCCAAACGAACUUGGAGAUAGCUGGUUCUCUCCGAAAUAGCUUUAGGGCUAGCCUCGGAAUUGAGAAUGAUGGAGGUAGAGCACUGUUUGGACUAGGGGCCCAUCUCGGGUUACCGAAUUCAGAUAAACUCCGAAUGCCAUUCAUUCAUAUCCGGGAGUCAGACUGUGAGUGAUAAGAUCCAUAGUCGAAAGGGAAACAGCCCAGACCACCAGCUAAGGUCCCAAAAUAUAUGUUAAGUGGAAAAGGAUGUGGGGUUGCACAGACAACUAGGAUGUUGGCUUAGAAGCAGCCACCAUUUAAAGAGUGCGUAAUAGCUCACUAGUCGAGUGACCCUGCGCCGAAAAUGUACCGGGGCUAAACAUAUUACCGAAGCUGUGGAGUACACCUUUAGGUGUAUUGGUAGGAGAGCGUUCUAAGGGCGUCGAAGGCAGAUCGUGAGGACUGCUGGAGCGCUUAGAAGUGAGAAUGCCGGUAUGAGUAGCGAAAGACAGGUGAGAAUCCUGUCCACCGAAUGACUAAGGUUUCCUGGGGAAGGCUCGUCCGCCCAGGGUUAGUCGGGACCUAAGCCGAGGCCGAUAGGCGUAGGCGAUGGAUAACAGGUUGAUAUUCCUGUACCCGUUGUUUUUGUUUGAGCAAUGGAGGGACGCAGGAGGCUAAGGAAUGCAGACGAUCGGAAAUGUCUGUCCAAGCAGUAAGUCUGAAGAGGAGUCAAAUGCUUCUUUUCUUAAGGACAA